rnacentral:rRNA from 1 species
UACGGAGGGGGCUAGCGUUGUUCGGAAUUACUGGGCGUAAAGCGCACGUAGGCGGCUUUACAAGUCAGAGGUGAAAGCCCGGAGCUCAACUCCGGAAUUGCCUUUGAGACUGUAUCGCUUGAACACAGGAGAGGUGAGUGGAAUUCCGAGUGUAGAGGUGAAAUUCGUAGAUAUUCGGAAGAACACCAGUGGCGAAGGCGGCUCACUGGACCGUUGUUGACGCUGAGGUGCGAAAGCGUGGGGAGCAAAC